GCGGCGGACGGGUGAGUAAUGCUUAGGAAUCUACCUAUUAAUGGGGGACAACAGUUGGAAACGGCUGCUAAUACCGCAUACGCCCUACGGGGGAAAGCAGGGGAUCUUCGGACCUUGCGUUAAUAGAUGAGCCUAAGUCAGAUUAGCUAGUUGGUGGGGUAAAGGCCUACCAAGGCGACGAUCUGUAGCGGGUCUGAGAGGAUGAUCCGCCACACUGGGACUGAGACACGGCCCAGACUCCUACGGGAGGCAGCAGUGGGGAAUAUUGGACAAUGGGGGGAACCCUGAUCCAGCCAUGCCGCGUGUGUGAAGAAGGCCUUUUGGUUGUAAAGCACUUUAAGCGAGGAGGAGGCUACCGAGAUUAAUACUCUUGGAUAGUGGACGUUACUCGCAGAAUAAGCACCGGCUAACUCUGUGCCAGCAGCCGCGGUAAUACAGAGGGUGCGAGCGUUAAUCGGAUUUACUGGGCGUAAAGCGUGCGUAGGUGGUCUUUUAAGUCGGAUGUGAAAUCCCUGAGCUUAACUUAGGAAUUGCAUUCGAUACUGGGAGACUAGAGUAUGGGAGAGGAUGGUAGAAUUCCAGGUGUAGCGGUGAAAUGCGUAGAGAUCUGGAGGAAUACCGAUGGCGAAGGCAGCCAUCUGGCCUAAUACUGACACUGAGGCACGAAAGCAUGGGGAGCAAACAGGAUUAGAUACCCU
rnacentral:rRNA from 1 species